UCUUGCCUCAGGAGACUUAUCUAGAAAAAUGUUGCUAUGGCCCAUGUCAGAGAAAUUACUUCCUGUACUCUCUUCUAGGAUAUUUAAGGUUCCAGGUAUCCCAUUUAGGUCUUUAAUUAAUCUUGGGUUUGUGUGUAUG